rnacentral:rRNA from 1 species
AACGAACGCUGGUGGCAUGCCUAACACAUGCAAGUCGAACGGGAUCCUGGCUUCGGUCAGGUGAGAGUGGCGGACGGGUGAGUAACGCGUGGGAACCUGCCCAGUGGUGGGGGAUAACUGCGGGAAACUGCAGCUAAUACCGCAUGAGCCCGAGAGGGGAAAGAUUUAUCGCCAUUGGAGGGGCCCGCGUUCGAUUAGGUAGUUGGUGGGGUAAUGGCCUACCAAGCCGACGAUCGAUAGCUGGUCUGAGAGGAUGAUCAGCCACACUGGGACUGAGAUACGGCCCAGACUCCUACGGGAGGCAGCAGUGGGGAAUAUUGGACAAUGGGGGCAACCCUGAUCCAGCAAUGCCGCGUGAGUGAUGAAGGCCUUCGGGUUGUAAAGCUCUUUUGCCAGGGACGAUGAUGACGGUACCUGGAGAAUAAGCCCCGGCUAACUUCGUGCCAGCAGCCGCCGUAAUAC